rnacentral:pre_miRNA from 1 species
CAACUACUCCCUCCGUUUGGAAUUACUUGUCGCGAAAAUGGAUGUAUCUAGAUAUAUUUUAGUUCUAGAUACAUCCAUUUUCGAGACAAGUAAUUCCAAACGGAGGGAGUACUUU